UUUCUAUAGGAACAGGCUGACAUCCAGUACAAGCCUUGGAGAUGACUCCCUGGUGUCUCCUAGAACUACAGGGGGGAGGUUAAGACAGAGCCCUGAACUCAAGAUCUUCUGGUUUCAACCUCUCAAGAGCUGGAAUGAUGGAUGUUCAUCUUUGGACCAGAUCCCUGUGGUGGCUAAAUGAGACAGAUGCCCAUAAGUGGUGGUCUCCAUGUGCUGAGUCUUCUUGUGAUGAUGGUAUCAGCCAUACUGAGUUAAAGGCCCAUCUUACCGCAGUAUGUGAUCAGAUAUUAAUUCAUCGAGUUAUAUCUGCAAGCAUCCUUUUUCUAGAGUGCUUUAGUGCCCCGGCCUAAGACUGAGAAAUGACAUCUGUGCCAAUGUCCGGUUGUCUCUGAGUCACGGGACCCACCCAACUGCAAGAGGACUGGCCAUGACUUAUUAAUGAAUAAAUGCCAGGACCCUGCAAACUCUCCAGCAAGGCAGAGCCCUGUGGCGCCUCCCAGCUGGCCUCUGGUGUCCACAGCAAGAACAUACUUCGAAACUGUUUCCUUUUCUUUCUUACUUUUCUUUUUUUAUCCAAAAAGUCAACGACGAAAAAAUGUUUUGAAGGCACUGUUUUAGAGACCAGAGGCUCAUGGCAGCAACUAGGAAAUCUCGAAGAGUGGGACCAGGCUGCUCAG